UACGUAGGGGGGCUAGCGUUGUCCGGAAUCAUUGGGCGUAAAGAGCGCGUAGGCGGCCAGAUAAGUCCGGUGUGAAAGUCAAAGGCUCAACCUUUGAAUGCCGCUGGAAACUGUCUGGCUAGAGUCCGGGAGGGGGCGAGUGGAAUUCCUGGUGUAGCGGUGAAAUGCGCAGAUAUCAGGGAGGAACACCAAUGGCGAAGGCAGCUCGCUGGAACGGUACUGACGCUGAGGCGCGAAAGCGUGGGGAGCAAACAGG
rnacentral:rRNA from 1 species